CUUUGCAUGUGCUGGUACCGCUGCCUGGAAGACACCCUCCCCAUCUCCCAGCCUGGGAGUCAGCCUUGAGCGCGUCAGCUACCAGGAUCUCGAGCAGCCCUGGCUACGCCCUCCCCUGGGUCAGGAAUCACUGCCGCCAGCAUCUUCCCCUCCCAGCUCCCUAGGGAGAGCCAUGGGGACUUUGCUGAACGUGCAGCUCCAUUCUACAGAAGGGGAAACUGAGGCUCAGGUCUCAAUGAAAAGUCACCUCCUCCGAGAGGCCCCUCUUGACCACCCAGCCGAAUGCCUCCUGUUCCUCUUAUCGCACUGGACUUUCUGCUGGAGCCCUCACCAUGGUCCUGAACGACUCAUCCUCAGGCUCGUUGGCUGAUGUGCUCCCAGCAUGGCAGCCUGUGGGAGACGACCUAGUCGUCUUUGGUCAUUCUUGUACCCAGAGGCCAACACGGGGUCGGCACUGAGGAGCUGCUCAUGGUGCCAUUCAUCCAUUCAGCAGACAUUGAUUUGGGCCUGUCUGGUUCCAUGUCUGGGGGGGGUGUGAGCUGUGUGGGUCAGGGAGGGUGAGCUGUAGCGGAGGCCUGAGGGGGCCAGGGCAGGUGUGGGAGCAGCAGGGUGGGGCUUGCACUUUAGAAACACGCUCUCUGAGCUG